rnacentral:rRNA from 1 species
GUAUCCUGGCUCAGGAUGAACGCUAGCUACAGGCUUAACACAUGCAAGUCGAGGGGCAGCGGGAUUGAAGCUUGCUUCAAUUGCCGGCGACCGGCGCACGGGUGAGUAACGCGUAUCCAACCUUCCGUACACUCAGGGAUAGCCUUUCGAAAGAAAGAUUAAUACCUGAUGGUAUGAUGAGAUUGCAUGAUAGCAUCAUUAAAGAUUUAUCGGUGUACGAUGGGGAUGCG